UUAUUAUUGAUAUUUCUAUUACUCUAUGGAAGAGAAAGCAGCAGAAAUCUUAUCUUCUGAUUUAAAGCUUUUUAAGCAUAAAUAAGGAACGUUUUAUUAUUAUUAAACAGCUUUUAUUCCUUUCAUGUGCAGUAUAUGCAAAAGCAGAAGCAUUAUGUAAAGAAUAUGGAGAAACUAAAGGACCUGGACCAACAGUCAAACCAUCGGGACACUUGUUCUUUAGGAAACUUGGAAACCUUGUGAAGAAUACCCUAGAAAAAUGUCAACGAGAAAAUGGAUUUAUGUGAGACUAACUUAAUAUAUAAUAUUAACAUUAUAUCAGUUUAUAGUUAUAUUGGAAUAUUAAUUAGUAAUAUCAUGGUUUCUAUUAGUCUGUGUUCUCAAAGGGUUUAUGUUAAAGUGCACUUAAGUUUAGCAUUAUUUUUUUCUUCUUUAUAGUAGUGAUAAAGUUCAAGUGUGUAGAACCUUUUGUGGUACUGGAGAUUGAACCCAGGGGCUCUUAACCACUAAGCCACCUCCCAGCCCUUUUUAUUUGUGUUGAGAUGGAGUCUGUCUAGAUUGCUUAUAGCCUCACUAAGUUGCUGAGGUUAUCUUUGACCCUGCAAUCCUUCUUCCUCUGCUUCCUGAGCCACUGGGAUUAUAAGCAUGUGUGACUGUGCCCAGUUUAGAACCUUUUAAUUACUGAUAUGUAGCUUACUUCUUUAGGAUACUCCCAUGAUGUUCUUAUUUUCUCUGCAUGUUUUAUGCGUACCUUCCUACAAACAAACACACGCACAUACAUAUACAUAUACAACCAUACAUCUUCUCAACUCCCUUUGCAUGUUCACCUCACUCUGAUUUUGGCUACCUGUUAAGCAGGAUAAUUAAUUUUUUCCAAUCCUUCCUAUUCCUUUAAAAUAGUUUCCCUUAUUUGUGUUCAAACUGUGAACCACCACCUUCGUUGGUUUGUAGAAUCUAUCUUGUCCCUGUUUUUAAUCUCUGUACAUUUUCCUCUUUAUAUUCUGCAUAUGAUCGUUCCAAACUUUUCACUUUCUUAAACAUGUCUAGUUCACAUUUCAUCACUUCCUUUGGAAAUAGUUACUAAUCUGUGUUAAUGAUCCUCUUUGUAUUCUCAUGGCACUUUAUAUCAUAAUAGCUUCAGUUAACUCUGCAUUGUAUUUGACAAGGUUUCUUAACUUUCUCACCUACUCAUCUGUGAACUACAUGAGACAGGGAAAUCUCUGACCCCUCAUUACAUUGAUGAUUAUAUUAGGAGAUCAGUUACUGAAUAAAUGAAUGAAUCACUAUUUAAAUUGCUUUUUUGCAGUUACUUUCAAAAAAUUCCAACAGAAGCCCCACAGCUGGAACUCAAAGCAAAUUAUGGGCUGGUAGAACCCGUGCCUUUUGAAUUUCCUCCUACAAGUGCUCACUGGACACCAGAAACGCUGGCUGCAUUUGAUCUCACCAAGAGACCUAAGGAUGACAGUGUAUGAGAGAGAUUUUUCUUCUGCUCACGAAACUUUAAAAAUGCUAAUUCAGAGUUAGCAUUUUGAUGUUUUUCUCUAUUUAAAUAGAUACCUGUUUGUCUAUGUUAAAUCAGCUAAUUGUAGUGUAAUCUUUUGUAGAGCACUGUGAGAUAAAGCCUUUAGAUCCUCAGUGGCCUCUGAUUUUAAACAUACUGAAUGACAUCAACACAUUAUCUUGCCUUUUUACAACUUGUCAGUGCUUCUUCCUUAAAAGAGAGUGGGAGGAAAGAUUAUCCUUGUUUGUAUUACCACAACAAUACUCUUUUUUUCAUUUAGCAUAUUGCAGGGUAUCUAAUUCCAGCAUUCCAUGAAUCAUCCAGGAGUAAAAUACUUUUAUUCAUUUAUAUUUAAGUAAAUCUUGGUGUUCUAAAUCAAGCUCAAGAGGAAAUUUUGAGAUUUAACUGCCAGCAAACUAGAAAUCUAUGACAAAAAGAAUGGGAAUAAUUUUGCAAGAAUAGCUCCUCCCUUCAAACUGCAUUUUUUAUGUAAUUCCCUUCCCAUACUAAAAUCAUUAUUCUUUAAAAUAACGAUCUUUAUAUCCUGAUCAGACUCUUAAGAAAUAGCCUAUUACUGUCAUAAGUUCAUUCCAAACUUAGGGGUUCCAUAGGCAUAGAUUGAUUAUUCGUUUCUUCCUCGGAGAGUAUAGGUUAGGAAGACCAUUUGCUUGACUAUAGGCAAAAGUAACUGUUUCUUAAAAUGAGUUGAUUUGUAGCUUCUGGGACAGCUUGUUAUUCUCAAUGUUACUUCAUUCAGUAUUGUACCUUUUGAAAGUCUAAAGUAGAAAAGAUCUCCUGUUUGUUUUCUGAGUUUAUGUAAGUGCUUAAUAUUUUAUUUUUCCUUCUUUAGGCCAAACCUAAGCCAGAUGAAGAAGUAAAACCUGUGAAAGAACCAGAUAUCAAACCUCAAAAGGACACGGGGUGCUACAUCUCCUAAAACACAAUAUGUGCUUAGAAUUCUACAAGUAGAAGAGAAAACUGAGAACUCUACAAGUAGAAGAGAAAACUGUAGAACUUUGGUACACAUUUCUUGAAAUGAUUUUUCUGAAGCUUAUAGCAUAAUUAUUACAUUCAGAGGGAAUCUGCCUUUAGUUCGUUUGUUCUUGAUUUUUAAGGUGGUAGACAUGUUUUUAAUCAGGACAACAUUUGAAAGGUUUUAUUGUGCCUCUGACAGGUGUAUUUGAGGGUUAGAUCUUUUUUGAAUUCUGGUUAAUAAGUUUCAGCUUAAUGUAUUAUAGGCCUGAAUUGUUUUUCAGGUAUGUUUUUCUAUCUUCACAAAAAUGUUUAUUUUUUUUCUCUUAUUUGAUACCAGAAGAAUGGCAAGAAUGAAUUUUGAGCAGAGAUGGUCUUUUUCCCCUCACCAUUGUGUUAAUUAUAGCACAGACUUGUUAUGUUCUGAGUCAUUUAUCUUUUCUGGUGGGGGAAAAAAGCUCUUAAUAGUUGAAGAUCAGAAAAUGUUCCUGCGAAAUCCCUCAAAUAUACUGGAAUCUAUAAUUUACUCAAAAAUUAGUGUUUAUAAAUAAGUUGAGACCUCUAAGAACUUUUUCUUAUUCUUGUAUCUGCUUCAUUCAGUCUCAAAAACCCUACAAUGUUUUUUUUUUUACAAAUACCUUUUCUAAUGGGUUUUUUACUUAGAGGAUAGAACUUUGUAAGUGUUUAAUGUUUAUAUGUAAGGGAAGACAGUAAGAAUGAAGAAUGUUUUUUGAAGAAGUAAUAUUGCAUGAUAAUAAAAAAAAAACUAAACGUGAAUGAGAUAGGUUGUCCUGUAUUACACCGGUAACUACUACUUUGUUAGAGAAGUUUUAGUAAAAUAUCUUUGUUAGCUGAUUUUAGUGUACAUUGUUUUUAUAUGGUUUUCUAAUAUAUAUAUCUAUAUACAUAUCUCCUAUCAGAAUUGCAUUGUUUUAGGUCAAAGGCCAUAGCAAAAAUUUAGAGAACAAACAGAUACAAUAUAAUCUUAUAAAAUGGAUUUAAUAAGGCUGGGGAUAUUGCUAGAGCGCUGGGUCCAGUUCCCACUGUUGAGGGGGGAAAAAGAUUAUAAUCAUUUGAAACAGUUUAGUAUAUACACAGAAUUGAGAAAUAAUGCAUAAUGCUUAAACAAAAUUCACACAUCUGUAGAUUUACCUUGUGUUGAUUAUUCUCCUAGAGUGUUAGAUAAUUUGCUAUUAUAAAUGACACAUUGGUUUUUACUAGAAAAAUAAAAGUAGUGUAUUUUGAGAGCUUACUAUGUGCCAGUCACUGUGCUGAGCACAUAUAUAGAUACACCAUAACGCACCUUUAAUAAAUAUGUAAAAUCUGCAUAAAGUGUCAAAAUAGGAAUAUAUGCAUUUCAUUUUGAAGAAUGAACAAAUUAUGUCUAGCUGAACCAAGAUUGUGUUCAAAUAAAUAAUUGCUUAAAUCAGAUAUCAUAGCUUUCACCGCUUUUAAAAAGCUGCAUAGAAAUCAAGUUUUUUUUUUUUUUAAUAUGUGGAAAUGCUAACUACUAUUUUCAGUAUAUAAUAUUUAAUAUUUGAAGCUACAGUUUCCAGAAUAUUUGGAGCAAUAAAUGAAUAGUUUUAUUUUGCUGUUUAUGGGAAAUAUUAAAUUUCACUGUAAACAGUCACUACAAAUUGACUUGUUUCUGUAUGUUAUCUGCUGACAAUUUUAAACAGUACUUAAGGACCUAUUUAUCUUAGGUACUAGUGCUUAUUUAACCUAGUUACUAAAUUUUCACAUUGAUAUUUUUGUGGAUUAUACUACCUUGUAUGAAAUGGAAAUAUGCAGUAUGCUCAGUGCUUCUGUAAAAUGCAGUUAAUACUGGUAUUUAAAUAAAUAAUUGUCAAUUUUGACAUGAUCAAAUAGUAUUUUGUUGACUCAGCAAAGGUAACACUUUAUCCUUUUAAUACCCCAUUAUAUAUAAGAUUUUUUGAAAAUGGUGUUGGAAAUGAUCAAAUGUAAAGAAGUUGCAUGAAGGCUAGAGGGAGAUGUAACUAUUUGUAUUAACCGUUGCAUAAAUUUCAUACCAGGCUAUGACAGCUUACAUAUUGCUUCUGCCAAGUAUUGUUUGUAUAAUGAAUUAUCUUUUUAUUUAUGAAAAUAAAAGCAAUUUUACCUACAUUUUCAUUGGACUUUUUGCUUUUUUUUUUUUAAUUUUUUUUUUAGUUGUUGAUAGACCUUUUCUUACUCAUUUAUUUAUAUGUGGUGCUGAGAAUUGAUCGAAGUGCCUUACACAUGCAAGGCAGGUGCUCUACCACUGAGCCACAACCCCAGCCCAGAAUUUUUGCUUUUUGAUGAAUAUUUUUAUACUUCCUAAGCCAGUAGCAUUAUGCGAAAUGUUAAUAUUCACAUUAAUGAUUAAAAGGACAAAUACAGAGCUGGGGUACAGCUGAGUGGUAGAGCGCUUGAUUAGCAUGCACGAGGCUCUGGGUUCAACCCCCAGAAUUGCAGAAAAUUUUUAAAAAAAUGACAGAUUCAUUUGUUUUUUGCUUUGUGUGCUUACUAAUAAACCUUAAUCACUCCUUGACCUGUUUGGUUUAUACUUAUGUUUAUUGGUACCUAUCACCUCUUAAUCUCAAAGUAGGAUUUUGAUGGACCUGUUUAUUUUUGAUGCAAAAAUAUAAAGAAUGAUGCAGCAUUUGUGUACUGUGGUAAGCUAAAUUGGGGAGCUUAUCAUUGUUGUGCCAUAAUCUGUUGAAAAGCUUUUGUACUUUGCACACUUGAGGUGGCAUUUAAAUAAAACCACUUGGAAAUAUUUCCUUACUUUCCAGAGUUUAAUUC
rnacentral:lncRNA from 1 species